GUUACCCAAUCAUUUACUAUUUCCUUAUUCCUUUGGUUCAAUCCUCUAUCUUGUGUAACUUACAGUCACUGAAGUGGGUCAUCCUUUUUCUGACUCUUCUGGACUCUUUAAUAAACAUCUUUCUAAAUUAUGUCGGUUGUGGAUUUUGUUCUCAGCUAACAGUUGGUGCCAUUGUCUGAAGGAUGAUCCUAGAGUUGGACUUUGACCCAGAUGAGAUUACUCCGCAAAACAAGAAAUGGGUAUUUAAGAAGUUGGGGUUCCUCCAUUCAUUGCUGGAGAAUGGCGGCUGGCAGCUGUAUGCUGGACGCUGGAUUCUUUGGGUCCUCCAGCCCUGGGACCAAUAUGGAUUCCUUGGUCCCAGUAUACUUAUCUCUGUCUGACUGGAUAAUCUGAGACAUGAGUCCUGUCCAGUCAAUCUUACUCUCCCAUUAAUAAAAUAUUAAAAACUCU